CCCUGUUUCCUGAGAAAUUUGAAACAGAUUCUCUAGGGAUAUAUCAAAGGAUAUUUCAGAAGUGUUCUAUGUUGCUUCUCAAAGUCAUCUUCUCUAGUAAUUAGGGUCCCAGGAUAGAAACCAGGUGCUUCAACUCUUUCAUAUAUCAGUAUAAAUUCACUCAUCUUUUAAAAAUGACUUAAUCUUUCACAUUGAACAGAUUGCACUCCUUAGUACCAUUCUUCCAAAGGUGGUGAGGAAAGACUACCAGGUGCUCAUAAACAGGAUUGCCAUGGCUUUGCUUGGGAUGUCAAUUAGGAUAAACUAUUUGUUACUGUAAUAGCCAAAAAGUCUUAGUGCCUUAAAACAAACAAACAAACAAAAAGGUCAUUUUUUGUUCAUAUUCGGUUCCCCAAAAUGAUUGCACUGUAGUUAUUUUGAGGUUCAGACUGAUAGAGACUUCAUCUUAGGAUGUUUUCAUCUCACCAUAAUUUUCAGGGUUUGCUGUGGUAGUGGAAAAGAACAGGUGAACACAACUGUUAAAUAUUUCCAUCAGAAAGUGAAACAAGUCACCUCUGCUCACUUUAUUCAGCCAAAGUAAGUCCUGUGGCUGCACAUAACUUCAAAAGUAAGAGUAUCAGUAAUCUUGGUGAAUGCUGGAAGUGAGAGGAUGGUGGCAUAGCCAGUAAGUAAGUUGAAAAGAAGUUUGAGUGGAUUUAAAGCUAUACAUGAUAAGCCCAGAAUGCCCACAAACAAUUUUCUGCUUAUAACAUUUAUUGUUUCUUUCAAGGGUACCAAAGGAAAUAGAUCAAUAAAGAUAAAUUCUGUAACUAAAUGAUGCUCUCACGUGAGUCAAAUGAACUGGAGGCUCACUUCUUACUGAGAGUGUGAAAUGCCACAGGAGUAGCUAGAGUGAUAGAACUGAGCCAGUGGGACCACUCAGCCAUGCCUCUCACAUUCUGCUGCCAUCGAGGGAUUACCAGAGGCCAUGGGAAUCACUGAAUGCACUUGAGGUCCUGUGUGCUGCAUCUGCCUGGGUCUUGAGAGCACGAUAUGUCACCAUCCAGUGGUGGAUUAGUUCGCAACAUCUGUGUUCCAGUGCUACAGUUAUUUUGUUUCUGAGGAUACUUUACUAAAAAGAAAGCAAAACAAGCUGAGCAAAACAAGUAAGACACUGUCAAAGAGCAAAACAGUGACAAAUCUUAAGUUCAAUGGAAGUCUGAUAGGAGAUGUUUUGGGGUAGUUGGUCCUUCAUGUAAAAGAAGGUUAGCUCCUGAGUAAAGGAAUGCAAAUAAGAAAAGGUUGUCAUUAUCAUCUUCAAAUAUUGGCUAAAGCUGAGCACAUUGAGGCAAAAAAGGUAUUUGACAAGUAGCUUUUAAAGUCUCUUCUCAUACUUUAGGUUGAUAAUUUCAAAUGUCCUUCUACUCUGGUUCAAAAUCACUUGAUUGUAUAUUUUAGAUACAUUGUUACGUUAUCGAAAUCUUCACAAUUCAGUGGAUAUAGGGUUUAUUAUUUAACACAUGGAGAAACUGAAAACUAGAGAUGUUGGGUAAUUUUCCCAA
rnacentral:lncRNA from 1 species